rnacentral:misc_RNA from 1 species
GUAAUCAAGCUUCUCGUACAUCUUUAUAGCUGGUGUGUUUGAUGCUCUCACAAACAAGUCCACAAAGUAAGCCUUAUCGAUCUUAUCACUGACUUCUUCCAGCAGGUACAUCAAUUUCUUGGCUAAUUGCUGCCUCCGAUAUUCAGGAGCCACAGUUACUGCAGUAACGUGACCAUGCCAAGAUUCACCUUGCCCUUCAACUUUUCCCAUAAUGUAUCCCAUGAUGUGGCCGCCGGGAGCUUUUGCAACAUGGAAAUAAUCCGGCCAUCUUGCCAUGUAAGUCAUAUAAAAUGACAUGUUGAAAGUUUCAGUAAGAUGAUCCAAAUUCACUGACGCGAAGCGAAGCAAGUCAUUGCAGCUGAAUCUACGAAUCGUCGUCAUGCUUUCUCUCUCUUCUUCGUCUCUUUCUCUCUCUACG